rnacentral:rRNA from 1 species
UAAGGAAUGCAUGCGAUUGGAAGUGCAUGUCCAAGCAAUGAGUCUUGAGUAGAGUUAAAUGCUUUACUCUUUAAGGACAAGUUGUGACGGGGAGCGAAAUAAUAGUAGCGAAGUUCCUGAUGUCACACUGCCAAGAAAAGCUUCUAGUGAGAAAACAACUGCCCGUACCGUAAACCGACACAGGUAGUCGAGGAGAGUAUCCUAAGGUGAGCGAGCGAACUCUCGUUAAGGAACUCGGCAAAAUGACCCCGUAACUUCGGGAGAAGGGGUGCUGACUUCGGUCAGCCGCAGUGAAUAGGCCCAAGCGACUGUUUAUCAAAAACACAGGUCUCUGCAAAAUCGUAAGAUGAAGUAUAGGGGCUGACGCCUGCCCGGUGCUGGAAGGUUAAGAGGAUGGGUUAGCUUCGGCGAAGCUCAGAAUUGAAGCCCCAGUAAACGGCGGCCGUAACUAUAACGGUCCUAAGGUAGCGAAAUUCCUUGUCGGGUAAGUUCCGACCCGCACGAAAGGCGUAACGAUUUGGGCACUGUCUCAACGAGAGACUCGGUGAAAUUUUAGUACCUGUGAAGAUGCAGGUUACCCGCGACAGGACGGAAAGACCCCAUGGAGCUUUACUGUAGU